rnacentral:rRNA from 1 species
UUCCGGUUGAUCCCGCCGGACCUGACUGCUAUCGGAUUGAUACUAAGCCAUGCGAGUCUUUGCAGUAAUGCAAGGCAUACGGCUCAGUAACACGUAGUCAACUUACCCUAUGGACGAGGAUAAUCUCGGGAAACUGAGCAUAAUACUCGAUAGAUCAUAAUGCCUGGAAUGGUUUAUGGUUGAAAUGAUUCGUCGCCAUAGGAUGGGACUGCGGCCUAUCAGCUUGUUGGUGAGGUAAUGGCCCACCAAGGCGAUUACAGGUACGGGCUCUGAGAGGAGAAGCCCGGAGAUGGGUACUGAGACAAGGACCCAGGCCCUAUGGGGCGCAGCAGGCGAGAAAACUUUGCAAUGUGCGAAAGCACGACAAGGUUAAUCCGAGUGAUUUCUGCUAAAGAAAUCUUUUGCAAGUCAUAAAACCACUAGUGAAUAAGGGGUGGGCAAGUUCUGGUGUCAGCCGCCGCGGUAAAACCAGCACCUCAAGUGGUCAGGAGGAUUAUUGGGCCUAAAGCAUCCGUAGCCGGCUCUGUAAGUUUUCGGUUAAAUCCAUGUGCUCAACAUAUGGGCUGCCGAAAAUACUGCAUAGCUAGGGAGUGGGAGAGGUAGACGGUACUCGGUAGGAAGGGGUAAAAUCCUUUGAUCUAUCGAUGACCACCUGUGGCGAAGGCGGUCUACCAGAACACGUUCGACGGUGAGGGAUGAAAGCUGGGGGAGCAAACCGGAUUAGAUACCCGGGUAGUCCCAGCUGUAAACGAUGCAGACUCGAUGAUGCAUUGGCAUAUAGCCAGUGCAGUGUCGCAGGGAAGCCGUUAAGUCUGCCGCCUGGGAAGUACGUACGCAAGUAUGAAACUUAAAGGAAUUGGCGGGGGAGCACCACAAGGGGUGAAGCCUGCGGUUCAAUUGGAUUCAACGCCGGG